rnacentral:rRNA from 1 species
AGCAGCCGCGGUAAUUCCAGCUCCAAUAGCGUAUAUUAAAGUUGUUGCAGUUAAAAAGCUCGUAGUUGAAUUUCGGGGUCAGUAGGUUGGUCGUGCCACUGGUAUGUACUGGCCUCACUGAUUCCUCCUUCCUGAUGAACCGUAAUGCCAUUAAUUUGGUGUUGCGGGGAAUCUGGACUGUUACUUUGAAAAAAUUAGAGUGUUUAAAGCAGGCUAACGCUUGAAUACAUUAGCAUGGAAUAAUGGAAUAGGACGUUCGAUCCUAUUUUGUUGGUUUCUAGGAUUGACGUAAUGAUUAAUAGGGAUAGUUGGGGGCAUUAGUAUUCAAUUGUCAGAGGUGAAAUUCUUGGAUUUAUUGAAGACUAACUACUGCGAAAGCAUUUGCCAAGGAUGUUUUCAUUAAUCAAGAACGAAAGUUAGGGGAUCGAAGACGAUCAGAUACCGUCGUAGUCUUAACCAUAAACUAUGCCGACUAGGGAUCGGAUGAUGUUAAUUUUUUAAUGACUCAUUCGGCGCCUUACG